GAGUUUGAUCGUGGCUCAGGACGAACGCUGGCGGUGUGCUUCACACAUGCAAGUCGAACGGGGUAGCAAUACCCAGUGGCGGACGGGUGAGUAACACGUGGGAAUCUACCAUAAGGUGGGGAAUAACAGGCCGAAAGGUCUGCUAAUGCCGCAUAUGUAGGCAUCUCGACAGAGGUGUUUAUGAAAGGAGUAAUCCGCCUUUUGAUGAGCCCGCGUCCGAUUAGCUAGUUGGUAGGGUAAAAGCCUACCAAGGCGACGAUCGGUAGGUGGUCUGAGAGGAUGAUCACCCACAAUGGGACUGAGACACCGGCCCAUACUCCUACGGGAGGCAGCAGGUGGGGGAAUUUUUGGACAAUGGGCGCAAGCCUGAUCCAGCCCAUGCCGCGUGAGUGAAGAAGGCCUUCGGGUUGUUAAGCUUCUUUUUGUUC
rnacentral:rRNA from 1 species